rnacentral:ncRNA from 1 species
AGGUCUUGGUCUUAAACCUCACAUUGUCUUCACCCCAUACCCAUACAUGCAAGCCUCCCCACCACAGUGAAAUAGCCUACUACCAACAUAUAGAGCAGACAUCAGGUAACAUACCCACGACGCCAAGCAAACAGCCACACCCCCACGGGCAUGCAGCAGUACUUAAUAUUGGGCCAUAAGCGAAAGCUUGACCUAGUAAUGGGCCACACAGGGCCGGUUAAUCUCGUGCCAGCGACCGCGGUUACACGACAGACCCAAGACAAUAUCACCGGCGUAAAGCACGACUAAAAAACAGUCACCAAAUUAGGGCUGAGGAUAAGCCAGGCUGUAAAAAGCCAUAAGCCACACAAAUCACUACCCUAACAGCAAACCACUUCAACUCGUGAAAGCAGGGACUCAAACUAAGAUUAGAUACCUUACUAUGCCCCGCCGUAACACAGCAAUUAAAUAACUUAUUGCUCGCCAAAUAACUACGAGUAGAAACUUAAAAUUUAAAAGACUUGACGGUACUUCACAACAACCUAGAGGAGCCUGUCCAAUAACCGAUAAUCCACGAUUAACCCCACCCGUUUUUGCCAACCAGUCUAUAUACCGCCGUCGCCAGCUUACCUUGUGAAAGAAACAAAGCAAGCCAAAUAGUACUACACUAACACGACAGGUCGAGGUGUAACAAAUAAACGGGCUAAAGAUGGGCUACAUUUUCUUAACUAGAAAACACGAAUAAAGUAUGAAACAACAACCUGAAGGCGGAUUUAGCAGUAAGAUAAAAAUAGAACAUUCAUCUGAAAUCAAUGCAAUGAAGUGCGUACACACCGCCCGUCAUCCCUGUAGAAUACCACCAAAAUUCAUAAUAUUAACACCCCCUUAAAGCAGGGCAAGUCGUAACACGGUAAGCGUACUGGAAAGUGUGCUUA